AGAGUUUGAUCAUGGCUCAGAUUGAACGCUGGCGGCAGGCUUAACACAUGCAAGUCGAACGGUAACAGGAGAAAGCUUGCUUUCUUGCUGACGAGUGGCGGACGGGUGAGUAAUGCUUGGGAAUCUGGCUUAUGGAGGGGGAUAACGACGGGAAACUGUCGCUAAUACCGCGUAGUGUCGAGAGACGAAAGUGCGGGACCUUAGGGCCGCAUGCCAUAGGAUGAGCCCAAGUGGGAUUAGGUAGUUGGUGGGGUAAAGGCCUACCAAGCCGACGAUCUCUAGCUGGUCUGAGAGGAUGACCAGCCACACCGGGACUGAGACACGGCCCGGACUCCUACGGGAGGCAGCAGUGGGGAAUAUUGCGCAAUGGGGGCAACCCUGACGCAGCCAUGCCGCGUGAAUGAAGAAGGCCUUCGGGUUGUAAAGUUCUUUCGGUGACGAGGAAGGUUGUUGUGUUAAUAGCGCAACAAAUUGACGUUAAUCACAGAAGAAGCACCGGCUAACUCCGUGCCAGCAGCCGCGGUAAUACGGAGGGUGCGAGCGUUAAUCGGAAUAACUGGGCGUAAAGGGCACGCAGGCGGCUAUUUAAGUGAGGUGUGAAAUCCCCGGGCUUAACCUGGGAAUUGCAUUUCAGACUGGGUAGCUAGAGUACUUUAGGGAGGGGUAGAAUUCCACGUGUAGCGGUGAAAUGCGUAGAGAUGUGGAGGAAUACCGAAGGCGAAGGCAGCCCCUUGGGAAUGUACUGACGCUCAUGUGCGAAAGCGUGGGGAGCAAACAGGAUUAGAUACCCUGGUAGUCCACGCUGUAAACGCUGUCGAUUUGGGGAUUGGGCUUUAAGCUUGGUGCCCGUAGCUAACGUGAUAAAUCGACCGCCUGGGGAGUACGGCCGCAAGGUUAAAACUCAAAUGAAUUGACGGGGGCCCGCACAAGCGGUGGAGCAUGUGGUUUAAUUCGAUGCAACGCGAAGAACCUUACCUACUCUUGACAUCCAUGGAAUCCUGUAGAGAUACGGGAGUGCCUUCGGGAACCAUGAGACAGGUGCUGCAUGGCUGUCGUCAGCUCGUGUUGUGAAAUGUUGGGUUAAGUCCCGCAACGAGCGCAACCCUUAUCCUUUGUUGCCAGCGAUUCGGUCGGGAACUCAAAGGAGACUGCCGGUGACAAACCGGAGGAAGGUGGGGAUGACGUCAAGUCAUCAU
rnacentral:rRNA from 1 species